ensembl:lncRNA
GAAAGAAGGAAGAAAAAACCCGGACCGGGCCGCCUGGCCACCCUUUGUGCGGGUGUCCGCUCCCCAGGCUCCGAAAGCCUUGCCAGCCCUUGUGAUCGGGUGGCACCGCCCACCAGGCGCGUGAAAGAAAGAAGAAAAGAAGAAAAAACCCGGACCGGGCCGCCUGGCCACCCUUUGUGCGGGUGUCCGCUCCCCAGGCUCCGAAAGCCUUGCCAGCCCUUGUGAUCGGGUGGCACCGCCCACCAGGCGUGUGAAAGAAAGAAGAAAAGAAG